CCUACGGGUGGCAGCAGUGAGGAAUAUUGGUCAAUGGGCGCGAGCCUGAACCAGCCACGUAGCGUGAAGGAUGACUGCCCUACGGGUUGUAAACUUCUUUUAUAAAGGAAUAAAGUGAGGCACGUGUGCCUUUUUGUCUGUACUUUAUGAAUAAGGAUCGGCUCACUCCGUGCCAGCAGCCGCGGUAAUACGGGGGAUGCGAGCGUUAUCCGGAUUUAUUUGGUUUAAGGGGUGCGUAGGCGGAGCGUUAAGUCAGUGGUAAAAUUGAGGGGCCCAACCCCUUCCCGCCAUUGAAACUGGCGCUCUUGAGUGGAAGAGAAGAAUGCGGAAUGCGGGGUGUAGCGGUGAAAUGCAUAGAUAUAACGCAGAACCCCGAUUGCGAAGGCAGCAUGCCGGCUUCCGAUUGACGCUGAAACACGAAAGCGUGGGGAUCGAACAGGAUUAGAUACCCGAGUAGUC
rnacentral:rRNA from 1 species